UACAGAGGUCCCGAGCGUUGUUCGGAUUCAUUGGGCGUAAAGGGUGCGUAGGCGGCGCGGUGAGUCGGGUGUGAAAUCUCGGAGCUUAACUCCGAAACUGCAUUCGAUACUGCCGUGCUUGAGGACUGGAGAGGAGACUGGAAUUUACGGUGUAGCGGUGAAAUGCGCAGAUAUCGGGAGGAACACCAGUAGCGAAGGCGGCACUCUGGGCCGGUACUGACGCUGAGGAGCGAAAGCGUGGGGAGCAAACAGG
rnacentral:rRNA from 1 species